rnacentral:rRNA from 1 species
GACGAACGCUGGCGGCGUGCUUAACACAUGCAAGUCGAACGGACAGGCCCUGCUUUUGUGGGGUGCUCGAUUGGCGAACGGGUGAGUAACACGUGAGUAACCUGCCCUUGACUUUGUGAUAACUUCAGGAAACUGGGGCUAAUACCGCAUAUGAGCUCCUGCUGCAUGGUGGGGGUUGGAAAGUUUCGGCCGUUGGGGCUGGACUCGCGGCUUAUCAGCUUGUUGGUGUGGUAGUGGCUUACCAAGGCUUUGACGGGUAGCCGGCCUGAGAGGGUGAACGGCCACAUUGGGACUGAGAGACGCCGCAGACGGGUACGGGAGGCAGCAGGGGAGAAUAUUGCACAACGGGGGGAAGCCUGAUGCAGAAACGCCGCGUGCGGGAUGACGGCCUUCGGGUGGUAAACCGCUGUCGCCUGUGACGAAGCGGGAGUGACGGUAAUGGGUAAAGAAGCACCGGCUAACUACGUG